rnacentral:rRNA from 1 species
CUCACUGGUCGAGUCGGCCUGCGCGGAAGAUGUAACGGGGCUAAACCAUGCACCGAAGCUGCGGCAGCGACACUAUGUGUUGUUGGGUAGGGGAGCGUUCUGUAAGCCUGCGAAGGUGACCUGUGAGGGUUGCUGGAGGUAUCAGAAGUGCGAAUGCUGACAUAAGUAACGAUAAAGCGGGUGAAAAGCCCGCUCGCCGGAAGACCAAGGGUUCCUGUCCAACGUUAAUCGGGGCAGGGUGAGUCGAC